rnacentral:rRNA from 1 species
GACAGAGGGUGCAAACGUUGCUCGGAAUUACUGGGCGUAAAGCGCGUGUAGGCUGACCGGAAAGUCGGGCGUGAAAGCCCUGGGCUCAACCCAGGAACUGCACUCGAAACUCCCGGUCUAGAGUGGUGGAGAGGGAAGUGGAAUUCCUGGUGUAGAGGUGAAAUUCGUAGAUAUCGGGAGGAACACCUGUGGCGAAAGCGGCUCACUGGACCACAACUGACGCUGAGGCGCGAAAGCUAGGGGAGCAAACAGG